AAUACAUCAAGAACCACAAAUGCAUUCCUUUGGAAGAUAUUGACGCUGAAUUUAAGCUACGAACUCAGGAUUGUAUCAAUCGGAUA